UAGAAAGCUCCGCAAGCA
rnacentral:tRNA from 1 species